ACACGACUACAUUAGAUACCCCGGUAGUCCUAGCCGUAAACGAUACUCGCUAGGUGUCGGCCACGGUGCGACCGUUGUCGGUGCCGUAGGGAAGCCGUGAAGCGAGCCACCUGGGAAGUACGGCCGCAAGGCUGAAACUUAAAGGAAUUGGCGGGGAGCACCACAACGGGUGGAGCUUGCGGUUUAAUUGGAUUCAACGCCGGAAAUCUUACCGGGACCGACAGCAACAUGAAGGCCAAGCUGAAGACUUUGCCGGAUUAGCUG
rnacentral:rRNA from 1 species